rnacentral:rRNA from 1 species
UCCUACGGGAGGCAGCAGUAGGGAAUCUUCCGCAAUGGACGAAAGUCUGACGGAGCAACGCCGCGUGAGCGAAGAAGGCCUUCGGGUCGUAAAGCUCUGUUGUAAGGGAAGAACAAGUGCCAUUUAACUGAUGGCACCUUGACGGUACCUUACGAGAAAGCCACGGCUAACUACGUGCCAGCAGCCGCGGUAAUACGUAGGUGGCAAGCGUUGUCCGGAUUUAUUGGGCGUAAAGCGCGCGCAGGCGGUCCUUUAAGUCUGAUGUGAAAGCCCACGGCUCAACCGUGGAGGGUCAUUGGAAACUGGGGGACUUGAGUGCAUAAGAGGAAAGUGGAAUUCCACGUGUAGCGGUGAAAUGCGUAGAGAUGUGGAGGAACACCAGUGGCGAAGUCGACUUUCUGGUCUGUAACUGACGCUGAGGCGCGAAAGCGUGGGGAGCAAACAGGAUUAGAUGCCCUGGUAGUCCACGCCGUAAACGAUGAGUGCUAAGUGUUAGGGGGUUUCCGCCCCUUAGUGCUGCAGCUAACGCAUUAAGCACUCCGCCUGGGGAGUACUGCCGCAAGGCUGAAACUCAAAGGAAUUGACGGA